rnacentral:rRNA from 1 species
CCUACGGGUGGCAGCAGUAGGGAAUCUUCCACAAUGGGCGAAAGCCUGAUGGAGCAACGCCGCGUGGGUGAAGAAGGCCCUCGGAGCGUAAAACCCUGUUGUUAGAGAAGAAAGUGCGUGAGAGUAACUGUUCACGUUUCGACGGUAUCUAACCAGAAAGCCACGGCUAACUACGUGCCAGGAGCCUCGGUAAUACGUAGGUGGCAAGCGUUAUCCGGAUUUAUUGGGGGUAAAGGGAACGCAGGCGGUCUUUUAAGUCUGAUGUGAAAGCGUUGGGCUUAACCGGAGUAGUGCCAUGGAAACUGGGGAACUUGAGUGCAAAAGAGGUAGGCGGAACGCGUGGUGUAGCGGUGAAAUGCAUAGAUAUAUGGCAGAACACCGGUGGCGAAGGCGGCUCUCUGGUCUGUAACUGACGCUGAAGUUCGAAAGCGUGGGUAGCAAACAGGAUUAGAUACCCCAGUAGUC